rnacentral:tRNA from 1 species
GCCCGAAUAGCUCAGCCGGUUAGAGCACUUGACUGUUAAUCAGGGGGGCGUUGGUUCGAGUCCAACUUCGGGCGCCA